rnacentral:rRNA from 1 species
AUUGAACGCUGGCGGCAGGCCUAACACAUGCAAGUCGAGCGGGGUUUUCGGACCUAGCGGCGGACGGGUGAGUAAUGCGUAGGAAGCUACCCGAUAGAGGGGGAUACCAGUUGGAAACGACUGUUAAUACCGCAUAAUGUCUACGGACCAAAGUGUGGGACCUUCGGGCCACAUGCUAUCGGAUGCGCCUACGUGGGAUUAGCUAGUUGGUGAGGUAAUGGCUCACCAAGGCGACGAUCCCUAGCUGGUUUGAGAGGAUGAUCAGCCACACUGGAACUGAGACACGGUCCAGACUCCUACGGGAGGCAGCAGUGGGGAAUAUUGGACAAUGGGCGCAAGCCUGAUCCAGCCAUGCCGCGUGUGUGAAGAAGGCCUUCGGGUUGUAAAGCACUUUCAGUAAGGAGGAAGCGUUGAGUGUUAAUAGUACUCAGCGUUGACGUUACUUACAGAAGAAGCACCGGCUAACUCUGUGCCAGCAGCCGCAGUAACAC